CGUUGUUUUUAACAUAUCUGGGCCCUGUUGCAUAAAAAUUUAUGUCAUAAUGACAUAAAUUUCGAUCGUGACAUAAAAUCAUGCAUAGCUUAUGUCGUUGACAUAAAUUUCGUUGCAUAAAAAUAUUUAUGUAUUGUUUUAGCUUAUGACGCGGUUUAAUCAUCAUUACAUAAACUGAAUAGUCAUGAACGAGCCUGUUGACAUAAACUUGGCAUAAGUUGUCAUUUUUCAGCCGCAGGAAGCUCUUGCGAAAAAGGGUCUUCGGCUUUCUAUUUGGACGGGAUAGAGGCCUAUUUUGGUAUGUAUCAAAUUUUCAUUGUUGUAUAUCGUAGAUAAUAGAUAUAUCUCACGUUCUGACCAAAAUUAAAAGUUUCUAAGUAUGAGGAGAUGUUUUAAAUAAAUCAUUAUCGCCGUCAAGUUUAUGUAAUGAUUGCUCGGAUACUCUCCGGCUGCUCUUACUAGUCUUAGCCGUACAACACCGGCAGUGCUAGCCGGAGGUUCCGGCGUCUGACAAAGACAAAUAAUGCAUGGAAUCAACAACAGAACAGUGUUAAAUAAUCUUCACGACAUUGAACAUUGAUUUUAAGGUUCGGCGUCGGAUAAACACAAAUAAUUCAUGGGAUGAACACUGACAGAAAACAGUUUUAAUUAAUCUUCACGACAUUUUAUUGGACAUUUUCAUUCAUUGAUUUGAAAUUAAAGGUUUUUUAAGAGCAUCACUGUUUUUCCUGGAAAGAUCUAGGCCUAGGCCUAUGUUAACAUUACUUGUUAGGCCUAGUCUAACGUUAGACUUAGAGCCGAACUGUCUAAGAUUAGACUAGAAGUCUAGACUAGACACUCUAGAGUCUAUACAAAA